AUCGAUCGAAAAGGCAAGGCCUCCUGCCUAGGAGCCUCCUAACUACUCCUAGUCGUCGGUGGCCUCCACGUAGUAGUAAGCGCCCUCGGGGUAGUAGUAGUUGUCGGUGGUGGCGUCUGGAUCUGGGGCUCCACCAUCUGAAAGCUCCGAUGAAAGGGGAGAAGGGUCGUUGUCGAAGUAGUCGAUCACAGGGACAUCCACAGCGGUCUCGGG